GUCUUUAUGGUGAAAUUAUCACAUCACUUUUUCAAGGUGGAAUUGAAUUUAUAUUCUAAAGAUA
rnacentral:tRNA from 1 species